rnacentral:rRNA from 1 species
AUUGAACGCUGGCGGAAUGCUUUACACAUGCAAGUCGAACGGCAGCAUAGGUGCUUGCACCUGAUGGCGAGUGGCGAACGGGUGAGUAAUAUAUCGGAACGUGCCCAGUCGUGGGGGAUAACGUAGUGAAAAUUACGCUAAUACCGCAUACGAUCUAAGGAUGAAAGCGGGGGAUCGCAAGACCUCGCGCGAUUGGAGCGGCCGAUAUCAGAUUAGGUAGUUGGUGAGGUAAAGGCUCACCAAGCCAACGAUCUGUAGCUGGUCAGAGAGGACGACCAGCCACACUGGGACUGAGACACGGCCCAGACUCCUACGGGAGGCAGCAGUGGGGAAUUUUGGACAAUGGACGCAAGUCUGAUCCAGCCAUUCCGCGUGCAGGACGAAGGCCUUCGGGUUGUAAACUGCUUUUGUACGGAACGAAAAGGUUUCUAUUAAUACUAGGGGCUCAUGACGGUACCGUAAGAAUAAGCACCGGCUAACUACGUGCCAGCAGCCGCCGCGG